rnacentral:rRNA from 1 species
GAUCCUGGCUCAGAAUCAACGCUGGCGGCGUGCCUCAGACAUGCAAGUCGAACGAUUAAAGCUCUCUUCGGAGAGUGCAUAGAGUGGCGCACGGGUGAGUAACACGUAAGUAAUCUACCCUCGAGUGGGGAAUAACAUCGGGAAACCGAUGCUAAUACCGCAUAAUGCAGCGGCACCGCAAGGUGACAGUUGUUAAAGAUUUAUCGCUUGAGGAGGAGCUUGCGGCAGAUUAGCUAGUUGGUAAGGUAAUGGCUUACCAAGGCUACGAUCUGUAACCGGUCUAAGAGGACGGUCGGUCACACUGACACUGAAUAACGGGUCAGACUCCUACGGGAGGCAGCAG